AUUAGCUAGUAGGUGGGGUAACGGCUCACCUAGGCGACGAUCCCUAGCUGGUCUGAGAGGAUGACCAGCCACACUGGAACUGAGACACGGUCCAGACUCCUACGGGAGGCAGCAGUGGGGAAUAUUGCACACAUGGGCGCAAGCCUGAUGCAGCCAUGCCGCGUGUAUGAAGAAGGCCUUCGGGUUGUAAAGUACUUUCAGCGGGGAGGAAGGCAAUAAGGUUAAUACCUUUGGUCAUUGACGUUACCCGCAGAACAAGCACCGGCUAACUCCGUGCCAGCAGCCGCGGUAAUACAGAGGGUGCAAGCGUUAAUCGGAAUUACUGGGCGUAAAGCGCACGCAGGCGGUCUGUCAAGUCAGAUGUGAAAUCCCCGGGCUCAACCUGGGAACUGCAUCCGAUACUGGCAAGCUAGAGUCUUGUAGAGGGGGGUAGAAUUCCAGGUGUAGCGGUGAAAUGCGUAGAGAUCUGGAGGAAUACCGGUGGCGAAGGCGGCCCCCUGGACGAAGACUGACGCUCAGGUGCGAAAGCGUGGGGAGCAAACAGGAUUAGAUACCCUGGUAGUCCACGCCGUAAACGAUGUCGACUUGGAGGUUGUGCCCUUGAGGCGUGGCUUCCGGAGCUAACGCGUUAAGUCGACCGCCUGGGGAGUACGGCCGCAAGGUUAAAACUCAAAUGAACUGACGGGCGCUCGCACAAGCGGUGGAAGCAUCGUGGUAUAAUUCGAUGCAACGCGCAAGACCUUACCUACUCUUGACAUCCUCAGAACUUUUCAGAGAUGCAUUUGUGUCUUCGGGAACUCUGAGACAGGUGCUGCAUGGCUGUCGUCAGCUCGUGUUGUGAAAUGAUGGGUUAAGUCCCGCAACGAGCGCAACCCUUAUCCUUUGUUACCAGCGGUCCGGCCGGGAACGCAAAGGUGACGGCCUGCGAUAAACUGGAGGAAGGUGGGGAUGACGUCAGUCCAUCAUGGCCCUUACGAACACGGCUACACACGUGCUACAAUACCGCAUACAAAGAGAAGCGACCGCCCGCGAGCAAGCGGACCUCAUAAAGUGCGUCGUAGUCCGGAUUGGAGUCUGCAACUCGACUCCAUGAAGUCGGAAUCGCUAGUAAUCGUGGAUCAGAAUGCCACGGUGAAUACGUUCCCGGGCCUUGUACACACCGCCCGUCACACCAUGGGAGUGGGUUGCAAAAGAAGUAGGUAGCUUAACCUUCGGGAGGGCGCUACCACGA
rnacentral:rRNA from 1 species